AAAUUGAAGAGUUUGAUCAUGGCUCAGAUUGAACGCUGGCGGCAGGCCUAACACAUGCAAGUCGAACGGUAACAGGAAGCAGCUUGCUGUUUUGCUGACGAGUGGCGGACGGGUGAGUAAUGUCUGGGAAACUGCCUGAUGGAGGGGGAUAACUACUGGAAACGGUAGCUAAUACCGCAUAA
rnacentral:rRNA from 1 species